AUAGUUACCUGGUUGGGGUGAUACCAUGAUCACUAAAGUGGUUCUCCCAGGGCGAGGCCCAAACAUUGCACUCUGGGUGUGCUGACCCCUACAAUUUCCCCAAAUGCAAUAAACUCAACUGCAUAAUGCGUGAUAGUGGAGGGGACUACAUACACAUUGUCCUUUA
ensembl:snRNA U1 U1 spliceosomal RNA